GGGGGCCCGCACAAGCGGCGGAGCAUGCGGAUUAAUUCGAUGCAACGCGAAGAACCUUACCAAGGCUUGACAUACACUGGACCGUUCUGGAAACAGUUCUUCUCUUUGGAGCUGGUGUACAGGUGGUGCAUGGUUGUCGUCAGCUCGUGUCGUGAGAUGUUGGGUUAAGUCCCGCAACGAGCGCAACCCUCGUUCUAUGUUGCCAGCACGUGAUGGUGGGAACUCAUAGGAGACUGCCGGGGUCAACUCGGAGGAAGGUGGGGAUGACGUCAAAUCAUCAUGCCCUUUAUGUCUUGGGCUUCACGCAUGCUACAAUGGCUGGUACAGAGAGAGGCGAACCCGUGAGGGUAAGCGAAUCCCUUAAAGCCAGUCUCAGUUCGGAUCGUAGUCUGCAAUUCGACUACGUGAAGUCGGAGUCGCUAGUAAUCGCAGAUCAGCAACGCUGCGGUGAAUACGUUCCCGGGCCUUGUACACACCGCCCGUCAAGUCACGAAAGUCGGUAACACCCGAAGCCGGUGUCCCAACCCACUUGUGGGAGGGGGCCGUCUAAGGUGGGACUG
rnacentral:rRNA from 1 species